GACAGAGGGUGCAAACGUUGCUCGGAAUCACUGGGCGUAAAGGGCGCGUAGGCGGUCGUGACAAGUCACUUGUGAAAUCUCCGGGCUUAACUCGGAACGGUCAAGUGAUACUGUCGGACUAGAGUACAGAAGGGGCAACUGGAAUUCUCGGUGUAGCGGUGAAAUGCGUAGAUAUCGAGAGGAACACCUGCGGCGAAGGCGGGUUGCUGGGCUGAUACUGACGCUGAGGAGCGAAAGCAUGGGUAGCGAACAGG
rnacentral:rRNA from 1 species